rnacentral:rRNA from 1 species
CGUGAGGGAUGACGGCCUUCGGGUUGUAAACCUCUUUCAGUAGGGACGAAGCGCAAGUGACGGUACCUAUAGAAGAAGCACCGGCCAACUACGUGCCAGCAGCCGCGGUAAUACGUAGGGUGCGAGCGUUGUCCGGAAUUACUGGGCGUAAAGAGCUCGUAGGUGGUUUGUCGCGUUGUUCGUGAAGACUCACAGCUCAACUGUGGGCGUGCGGGCGAUACGGGCAGACUGGAGUACUGCAGGGGAGACUGGAAUUCCUGGUGUAGCGGUGGAAUGCGCAGAUAUCAGGAGGAACACCGGUGGCGAAGGCGGGUCUCUGGGCAGUAACUGACGCUGAGGAGCGAAAGCGUGGGGAGCGAACAGGAUUAGAUACCCUGGUAGUCCACGCCGUAAACGGUGGGUACUAGGUGUGGGUUUCCUUCCUUGGGAUCCGUGCCGUAGCUAACGCAUUAAGUACCCCGCCUGGGGAGUACGGCCGCAAGGCUAAAACUCAAAGGAAUUGACG